UACGUAGGGCGCAAGCGUUGUCCGGAAUUAUUGGGCGUAAAGAGCUCGUAGGCGGUUUGUCGCGUCUGCUGUGAAAACCUAAGGCUCAACCUUGGGCUUGCAGUGGGUACGGGCAGACGUAGAGUGCGGUAGGGGUGACUGGAAUUCCGUGGUGUAGCGGUGGAAUGCGACAGAUAUCGAGGAGGAACACCCGAUGGCGAAGGCAGGUCACUGGGCCGCAAC
rnacentral:rRNA from 1 species